UCUAUUAAAUGAUGAUUUCAUAGUUCAUCUGAGUACAAUUGAUGUACAUCAUUUAUUGUCUUUCGCUCCUAUCUGAUUAUUUUU